GUCAAUCGACACGGGUGCUCUGUGUUAUCUCGCUUAUGCAAGCGUGAACAUUCAGAGCUGAGAGAAAACCGCUUGAACGUGAAUCCGGGUAAUACCGGCGCACGGAGGUCUGUUUUUCCCGUGC
rnacentral:ncRNA from 1 species